AGUGAGAGGCCAACAGACAAGCCAGUUGGCCUUGAGCUCCGGCUCACUAAUAAUAGCAUCAUCCAGGCCGGCUCAGAGCUGCGGGGACUGCAGGAUGACAUCACCCAGAUGGAAGCAGAAGGGAUGGGCAAACCGCAAGGUCCCAAGGGCUGAUGAACACUGGAAGCUGCUUGAGAAAACCCAGGCUGGAGUGCAGCAGUGCAAUCUCAGUUCACUACAACCUCUGCCUCCCAGGUUCAAGAGAUCCUCCCACCUCAACCUCUUGAGUAGCUGGGACUACCAGGUAAGACUCCCCAAGUCCUUCAGCUCUUCCUCCAUGGCAGGCCUUCACUGUCCUCCAGGCUGGAAGCCACUCUCUGUGGAAUCUUGGACAAUUCUUUACUAUGAAAGGAUGCAUUACAUGGAUAUGAAUGCUAAACUAACUUCUGGAUUUCCUAGGACCAAAUCCAGAGGAAACACUGGAAAAGUAAGAUAAGUGUAAGAUGCUUAACAGCAAGUUAUACUGUCAUGUAUCGAGGACUUAUAAUCAUCUUUUAGAUGUAAAACUCCCUUUUUACAGAUGAUAAAGAAAAUUCCCCAGCAGGCUAAGUAGCUUGCUUCAGAUAACACAACUAUAAACUCUAGCAUCCAGAUUUGACUCAGGUAUU
rnacentral:lncRNA from 1 species